GAAACAUGACGUACAAAAUAAAGCUGCUAACUUUUCUUUUUAAUGGUUAAAUUCCAUUUAUGUUUCU
rnacentral:tRNA from 1 species